rnacentral:rRNA from 1 species
UACAGAGGUCCCAAGCGUUGUUCGGAUUUACUGGGCGUAAAGGGCGCGUAGGCGGCCACCGCAAGUCGACUGUGAAAUCUCCGGGCUUAACCCGGAAAGGUCAGCCGAUACUGCGGGGCUAGAGUGCAGAAGGGGCAACCGGAAUUCUCGGUGUAGCGGUGAAAUGCGUAGAUAUCGAGAGGAACACCUGCGGCGAAGGCGGGUUGCUGGGCUGACACUGACGCUGAGGCGCGAAAGCUAGGGGAGCGAACGGGG